UACGGAGGGUGCGAGCGUUGUUCGGAAUCACUGGGCGUAAAGCGCGUGUAGGCGGCCCGCUAAGUCUGAUGUGAAGGCCCGAGGCUCACCCUCGGAAGUGCAUUGGAAACUGGCGGACUGGAGUCCCGGAGAGGAGGGUGGAAUUCCUGGUGUAGCGGUGAAAUGCGUAGAUAUCAGGAGGAACACCGAUGGCGAAGGCAGAUCUCUGGGCCGUAACUGACGCUGAGGAGCGAAAGCAUGGGGAGCGAACAGG
rnacentral:rRNA from 1 species